rnacentral:rRNA from 1 species
UACGUAGGGGGCAAGCGUUGUCCGGAAUCAUUGGGCGUAAAGCGCGUGUAGGCGGUUCAGUAAGUCUGCUGUGAAAGUCCAGGGCUCAACCCUGGGAUGCCGGUGGAUACUGCUGGACUAGAGUGCGGAAGAGGCGAGUGGAAUUCCCGGUGUAGCGGUGAAAUGCGCAGAUAUCAGGAGGAACACCGGUGGCGAAGGCGGGUCUCUGGGCGAACAACUGACGCUGAGGAGCGAAAGCGUGGGGAGCGAACAGG